GACGAACGCUGGCGGCGUGCUUAACACAUGCAAGUCGAACGGAAAGGCCCUGCUUUUGUGGGUUUCUCGAGUGGCGAACGGGUGAGUAACACGUGAGUAACCUGCCCUUGACUUUGGGAUAACUUCUGGAAACUGUGGCUAAUACCGGAUAGGAGCUCCUGCUGCAUGGGGGGGGUUGGAAAGUUUCGGCGGUUGGGGAUGGACUCGAGGCUUAUCAGCUUGUUUGUGGGGUAGUUGCAUACCAAGGGUUUGACGGGUAGGCGGCCUUGGAGGGCGACCGGCCACCUGGCGCCUGCGGGACGCCGCAGACGCGAACGGGAGGCAGCAGGGGGGAAUCUGGCGCAACGGGGGGAAGUGAGUGGCAGCGACGCCCGGAGCGGAAAGCUGUGUUACGGGUGAUGAACCGAUUUGUCCUGUGACGAAGCGUUAGUGACGGUACUGGGUAAAGAAGCACCGGCUAACUACGUG
rnacentral:rRNA from 1 species